GGCUGGAUGGCCGAGCGGUCUAAGGCGCUAGACUCAAGUGGAGCACAAUUGCACACUUUCAACUGUACAGUUGAAGCAUUCUAGUCUCGAAAGAGGCGCGCGUUCGAAUCGCGCUCCAGUCA